rnacentral:rRNA from 1 species
GACGAACGCUGGCGGCGUGCCUAACACAUGCAAGUCGAGCGAAUGAAGUUCCUUCGGGAAUGGAUUUAGCGGCGGACGGGUGAGUAACACGUAGGCAACCUGCCUCAUAGAGGGGAAUAGCCUCCCGAAAGGGAGAUUAAUACCGCAUAAGAUUGUAGUACCGCAUGAUACAGCAAUUAAAGGAGCAAUCCGCUAUGAGAUGGGCCCGCGGCGCAUUAGCUAGUUGGUGAGGUAAUGGCUCACCAAGGCGACGAUGCGUAGCCGACCUGAGAGGGUGAUCGGCCACAUUGGGACUGAGACACGGCCCAGACUCCUACGGGAGGCAGCAGUGGGGAAUAUUGCACAAUGGGGGAAACCCUGAUGCAGCAACGCCGCGUGAGUGAUGACGGCCUUCGGGUUGUAAAGCUCUGUCUUCAGGGACGAUAAUGACGGUACCUGAGGAGGAAGCCACGGCUAACUACGUG